rnacentral:rRNA from 1 species
GACGUAGGGGGCCAGCGUUGUUCGGAAUUACUGGGUGUAAAGGGUUCGUAGGCGGUGUAGCAAGUCGGGAGUGAAAUCUCUGGGCUUAACCCAGAGGCUGCUUCCGAAACUGCUGUGCUUGAGUGUGGGAGAGGCGCGUGGAAUUGCAGGUGUAGCGGUGAAAUGCGUAGAUAUCUGCAGGAACACCCGUGGCGAAAGCGGCGCGCUGGACCACUACUGACGCUGAGGAGCGAAAGCGUGGGGAGCAAACAGG